GUGGGGAAUAUUGCACAAUGGGCGCAAGCCUGAUGCAGCAACGCCGCGUGAGGGAUGACGGCCUUCGGGUUGUAAACCUCUUUUAGCAGGGAAGAAGCGAAAGUGACGGUACCUGCAGAAAAAGCGCCGGCUAACUACGUGCCAGCAGCCGCGGUAAUACGUAGGGCGCAAGCGUUAUCCGGAAUUAUUGGGCGUAAAGAGCUCGUAGGCGGUUUGUCGCGUCUGCUGUGAAAUCCGGAGGCUCAACCUCCGGCCUGCAGUGGGUACGGGCAGACUAGAGUGCGGUAGGGGAGAUUGGAAUUCCUGGUGUAGCGGUGGAAUGCGCAGAUAUCAGGAGGAACACCGAUGGCGAAGGCAGAUCUCUGGGCCGUAACUGACGCUGAGGAGCGAAAGGGUGGGGAGCAAACAGGCUUAGAAACCCUAGUAGUCC
rnacentral:rRNA from 1 species